CGGCAACUUAACGGGAGGAGCAAAUUUUACCCACAAACAGCAAUUCCUCCUUUAGGCAAAGUGAGUUCCAAUAAGGGUGGUUGGAAAAUGAACCAAAGCGCGGUUAAAAGUAACAAUAGUAAUUAUAAUUAUACAGACAUGCCUCCCCUAACAGGACCUGCUGAGAAAAGAGGAAGGCGUGGCUAGAGUGAGAACUCCUUGCGUUUGCUCAGUAUUGGUUGUAGGUUGGUGCUCGAGACUCGGGAGUGCGCUUGCGCCUGGCGGGGGUGGAGUUUAGGCUGUGUGGAACGCAGGCUGUCUUGGUCGCUUCUCCCGCGCAUUUCCAGAGAAAGUGGGCCAUUUUGACAGGUGGUAACGAAUCUCCGAGGAUGUUUAUCCAAGGCCAAGAAGUAAUUUCAGGGCUUUAGGAGAGCCACCCACACUGACCCUGGAACUUUCUACGUCAACAAAAAUGAUAACCGGAGCAGGACCUUAAACAACUUGCACCUCAGAGGCAUGGGACUGCACUUUACUUCAAAGGAGAUACCUCAGUAUGUAUAUGACCAUGGGAUCCCAGCUUAUAUCACAUUCUACACCAUUCAGAAGCUGCUGGUAUGAUGGAAUAAUGGGGAAGUCUAUUGAAUGAACAGCCUGUAGAAGGCGUUGCUGAAGAGGCAGAUCAGAGGUAAUACCCUGUGAAUUUGGUUGCCAUCCUCUAAGAGAUCAGUGAUAUGGUCCUCAGUAGGUAGAAUAUAUAGGCCCAGAAAUCAAGGAAUGGACACAGUAUUGGCUCUACCCACUGUCAUUCCCAAUAAUAUGCUUGUGGAAUUUCCAUCUCAGCAACUCUGAGCUCUGAGGGUUUAGGAGUUUUGGUUUUCAAUGGGGAAUAUUUCUGCCAAGGGACACAGCCAGAGUUCAAAUGAAUAAUUAGCUGUGGCUGCUACCUGCUCUUCAGACUAGUUGUUGCAAGAAGACAUGGCAUGGGAAACCAUUGAGACCUUGAGGCAAGUAUCUGGAUCAUGCCACCAGACAAGUCAUGGAGAUCAGCAGGCAUGCCAACUGAAGGCACUGUUACUGGAGAGCUUUCCACCACUCCGGUUGAUGCCAAAGAUACAUUUCACUAAAAUUGUAAUUACAAUUCUGUACCUUUGCCAGGUAAAAUGGAAAACAUAGAAAAUAUACGGAGUUUCAACAUCCACUGUAGCGAGAACGUUCUGGCUGAGAGAGGAGUACAACUGCACAAGGUAGGUAACAAUGUUUUUGGCGUUUUUCUCAGGUCUACAUACUGCUUCAACAAAGAAAAAAAGCUAGAACUGGAAAAGGGAGGCAGGAAGGAGAGGUACAAGGAGUCUGAGUUAGGACAGGGGAGUGUAUUCAGUGAAACUGAAGUCUUAAAUUUGAGUA